UGGAAAUCCCUGCUUUAGAGGCUUGAGUCCUGACCAAGUUUUCAACCCCAGUAGAAGAGGGGAUAAUCCCAACUUGGCCCCCACUUGCCCUGGGCCCCAUAGCAGUCACAUGGUAUUGCCACUAUGGUAAUUACGCCCCUGCCUGGUACCCUCACCAAUCUGCUGAAUGAAGAGACCACGGUGCUCCGUGAGCACUCAGGCCUCCUUCUAGACCAGUGAUGUCAUGUUCAUUGGUCACAUGGUCUAGGAGCAGCUCAGUCCCAUUCAAGUGAAUGGGGCUGAGUUGCAAUAUCAAGUGCAGCUGCUAUCUGACAAACGCCACUGAGCUUGGUGAGCUGUGAGGAGGCUACAGCGCUCACCAGACGUCUGGUAAGCACCAGAGCUGGUUGAUGGGGUGCUCGAACAUUUAUAGCAUAUCUACAGGAUAAAUGUAUUACCUGUCAUUAGAAACCCCCCCUCCCUAUGACCAGGGAUGGUGGUAAUUACGGAAACAGUCGAGGGAAUGGGAACAGGAGUUAAGGAACCAGCAUAGCACAGCCCGCUCAGCUGCUACCAUGUCCCUACCACCUGUGGCCGUUGCAUCUGACCACGCCACAAUGAUAUCAAUGUCAAUG